UAGCCUAGUAGUUAAGGCUGUGGAUCGCUAAUCCGGAGACGGCGGGUUCGAUUCCCGU
rfam:Aedes albopictus isolate Foshan contig39387, whole genome shotgun sequence.